CAGGUACUUCGGUAAGAGCAAGCGGUCCCGGAAGAUGUCUACCCAGCUGUUGUCCUGUGUAUUUGACACACUAUACAAGUGCUUCCUAUACGACAGUUUGAUGGCUUUGUAUCUGCCGAGAGGUUCGAAACACUCAUGCAACCAAUCGUUGACCGAUCAGAUGAAAAUGAAGAAGUUGAGAAACGCUGCCAGACUGUCAUAGCGGACAUGGAGAGGACCCUGGGAGAACCCUUACAGAAAUACUUCUAACUGGGGAAUACCUGAUCUUCUAGCAUCAUGUGUUUGCUUUAGGCAAUAAACAUGAUUUUAAAACAU